CAGAAAAACAGUCCGGAAAAGAAAGUCAUUUUUCCGCUCUUGUGUAGUGGCCCAUUCUUUCUCUGCUGUCUUGAGAUUUUUCUACGUAAUUCACAGAGCAUGACUUUCAAAAACAGGAUUGUAUGAAGUAGAGACCUGAUUAGGCAGUAGCAAGUGGGAAACUGCUCAGUGAUUCAGGAGGGCAUUUAAGAACUGAAACCGAAACCUAAAGGCAAAUGGACCUAACCAACCACAAUGUAAAGUUUGUGGAUUUACACAAGGCAGAGCUCAUUCAGAAGGUCACCAUGGUUAUGCCCCUGUCUGACAAGCUGCAGUCAAAGGGGAUGCUCCACGAGGAGGCCUACGCAGAAAUCAGGGCGGAAAAGACCAGACAGGAGAAAAUGAGGCGACUCUUUGAUGCUAUGCAGUCUGGAGGAAUGAAGUCUGCUUUUUACACUUUACUGCAAGAGAUCGAACCUCAUCUGCUGAAAGACUUGGGGGAGAAUAGCAGUAAUAAAAGGAAAAGAAGCUUGUCCCCUUUCACAAGUGAGAGUCAACCGAAAAGGAGACACAGCGAUCCAUAUGUUCCUCAAUCCAAGUCGUCAAUGGCUACAACACAAAAGUCUGCCUCCACUGCUAACGACUAUAAUGAUGAUGAUGAUGAUGACUCUGAGGACUCUAAGGACUCUGAUUAUGAGUUUGAUGAUGAGUAUGAUUGUGAUGACUUAGUAUUAGAUGAUGAUGAUGAUGAUGAAGAGGAGAAGGAGGGGGAGAGUCAAGAAGAUGAGGUGGAUUAUGAUGACUUAGUCUUAGAUGAUGAUGAUGAUGAUGAGGAAGAGGAGAAGGAGGGGGAGAGUCAAGAAGAUGAGGUGGAUUAUGAUGAUGAUGUCUAUGAGGAGGAGGAGGAGGACCGUGAAGAAGAAGAGGAAGAUUAUGGAUAUUGAUGGUUAGGAGGAGGAGGGUCACUAUUAGUGAAUCUGUUUAAACUCUCCUGUUUCCUUUCCACUGUUUCAGUUAAUAUUUUCUAUAAAGUACUUUCAUACCAGGCCUGGUCUCCUCUUUUGCUGUAAAAUCCUGCCACACACACACAUUUCGUAAUGCCGUUCAUAACAGCCCCUGUCUUCUGCUGAAGUCUCAGGCUAAAGGACAGCAACACCACUAUCCCAGUUGAGUCCAUUAAACAGGUUAAGUAAUACACUGAGACCAGAACACAGAUACCAAGAGACCAAAAAGAAUGGAGGCUACCAGUUAUUCACAAUCACCUGUUCACUCUGCAUAAUUAACGAGGACACAUUUUACACAUUUUGUGUGGAAACUGAAGUAAAGAAAUAUGAUGGCCAAGCUGAAUUAGGCUGUAA
rnacentral:lncRNA from 1 species